CACUCUGGAGACAUCCGAUUUUUCGGAGGCCGAAGGUGCAAGGGGUGGCUGACCACCGAAUCUCUCAGGCAAAAGGACAGAGGU
rnacentral:ncRNA from 1 species